AGUGAACGCUGGCGGUGGGCCUAACACAUGCAAGUCGAACGGACGCACAGUAAGCGUUUGCUCUUACGGGUGGCGAGUGGCGGACGGGUGAGGCAUGCAUAGGAAUCUUCUUUUUCGUGGGGGACAACGUAGGGCCACUUACGCUAAUAGCGCAUACAUCCUACGGGUGAGAGCAGUGGAUCUUCGCAGCUUUCGCGAUAGAAAGAGACGACGUCGGAUUACCUUGUUGGGAAGGUAAGGGCUCACCAUGGCGAGGCUGCGUAGCCGACCUGAGAGGAUGAUCGGCCACACUGGAACUGAGACACGGUCCAGACUCCUACGGGAGGCAGCAGUAGGGAAUCUUCCGCAAUGGGCGAAAGCCUGACGGAGCAACGCCGCGUGAGUGAUGAAGGUCUUCGGAUCGUAAAACUCUGUUAUUAGGGAAGAACAAAUGUGUAAGUAACUAUGCACGUCUUGACGGUACCUAAUCAGAAAGCCACGGCUAACUACGUG
rnacentral:rRNA from 1 species